CAAAUACUCCCUUCGUCCGGAAAUACUUGUCAUCAAAAUGGAUAAAAGGAAAUGUAUCUAGACGUAUUUUAGUUUUAGAUACAUCUCUUUUUAUCCAUUUUGAUGACAAGUAUUUUCGGACAGAGGGAGUAGAAA
rnacentral:pre_miRNA from 1 species